AUGAACCUAGGACGCACCACGGUCCAGAUUCACAGGAUGCAGCAGCCUAUAAGAACACCCCGCGCCCCCGCCGUCGCUCGGUUAGUUGCGAGCGCCCACCGAAAGAACUGCGAGGAAGCAAGAAGUAGCGGCGGGCCUCCUCGCCGCAUUCCACCAAAUUUCUCUGUAGCCUGCGAGUUCUUGCCUUUCCUCACCAAUUUGGUCGCUUCCCAGCUCCUGGUAGAGGCCCGAGCGAAGCCUGAAGUCCUCGGGUUCUUGCUUUUCCUGACCAAUUCGAUCGCCUGCCAUUUUCCACAAGAAGCCUCGAAGCCUUCAGAAAUGGGAAAGAAGUGCAGCACCUGUGGCAAGACCUACAAAACUAAACGUGCUUUUAAUGGCCACAAGAUGAAAUGCAAGUCCCCCAAGAAUCCUGAGCAAAAUGCCGCAGGACAGGAAGAGGCUUCAGGCAGUGUCGGCGAUAGGAAAGAUCUGCUUAAUUUUCAUAUAGAAAAGCGUCCACGGAGCAGCCGUGGUGCAGCGAAGGAGAUGGAUGGUGGAAAUGAAGUCUUCCCGUCAGAAGCGGAGAUAGAUGCUGCAGAGGGGCUUAGUCUUCUCCAGUACCCACGUGGCAAGGAUACAUCUUCUGAUAAUGAACCAGGAAUUGAUUAUUCAGGGGUUGAAUCAGCUGCUGAUAAUUCUGAUGCGGUGCAAGAGGAGAACCCGACACAGAGGUUAUUUGGUGCGCUGAUUCUGGGUGCACUCUGGGAUAUAGUAUCUAAUAGAAACUCAGCUUCUGUGGAUCUCUGUGGAGGUGCUGAAAGACGUGGAAAUGAAGCCCUUUCGUUAGAAGAGAUGGAAUUGAUUCACAAUGAUGAUGGUCAAAGGCUGGUUGAUUGUCCUGAAAAUUCUGUUGUGGUUGAGCCAAAACGGCCCAAGCUUGAUCUCAAGGUUUCUGACAGCAGUGACAACCCAGCUUCUGAUGGUGCUCAAGGUGGCAACAAUGAUGCGUCGGGGUCUGGCACGCCGAAGCUGAAACAGACAUCUCUGACGGAGCCAAUGGCCACAGCGGCGGAUCGGGAACAGGAACAGAAGUCAGAUGUCUUACAGGCUCCCCUGCCUCUCGAUACAACCUCUGUUGACCAAUCAGGAACUGACAGUACAGGUGACGAAUCAGCUGCUGAUACUUCAGAUGAGGUGCAGCUUUCCAUGGAGCAGCUCGCACAAGCUCUCCUGGAUCUAAGAAACUGCACAGAUCGAUGA
rnacentral:rRNA from 1 species